GCCAUGAUCGUCUAGUGGUUAGGACAUUGCGUUGUGCCCGCAAUAACCCAGGUUCGAAUCCUGGUCUCGGCA
rnacentral:tRNA from 1 species